AGAGUUUGAUCAUGGCUCAGAUUGAACGCUGGCGGAAUGCUUUACACAUGCAAGUCGAACGGCAGCACGGGGCAACCUGGUGGCGAGUGGCGAACGGGUGAGUAAUAUAUCGGAACGUGCCCAAUCGUGGGGGAUAACGUAGCGAAAGUUACGCUAAUACCGCAUACGAUCUACGGAUGAAAGCGGGGGAUCGCAAGACCUCGCGCGAAUGGAGCGGCCGAUAUCAGAUUAGGUAGUUGGUGGGGUAAAGGCUCACCAAGCCAACGAUCUGUAGCUGGUCUGAGAGGACGACCAGCCACACUGGAACUGAGACACGGUCCAGACUCCUACGGGAGGCAGCAGUGGGGAAUUUUGGACAAUGGGCGCAAGCCUGAUCCAGCCAUUCCGCGUGCAGGAUGAAGGCCUUCGGGUUGUAAACUGCUUUUGUACGGAACGAAACGGUCUGCCCUAAUACGGCAGGCUAAUGACGGUACCGUAAGAAUAAGCACCGGCUAACUACGUG
rnacentral:rRNA from 1 species